rnacentral:rRNA from 1 species
GGAGAGAGUGCCUCGCAAGAGGAGCCUGGUGACAGGUGCUGCAUGGGCUGUCGUCAGCUCGUGUCGUGAGAUGUUGGGUAAGUCCCGCAACGAGCGCAACCCUAUCUUAGUUGCCAUCAUUGAGUUGGGCACUCUAAAGAGACUGCCGGUGUCAAACCGGAGGAAGGUGGGGAGUGACGUCAAGUCCUCAUGGCCUUUAUGACCAGGGCUACACACGUACUACAAUGGCCGGUACAAAGGGCAGCGACACAGCGAUGUGAAGCCAAUCCCGAAACGGCCUCUCAGUUCGGAUUGUAGUCUGCAACUCGACUACAUGAAGUUGGAAUCGCUAGUAAUGGCAGAUCAGCAUGCUGCCGUGAAUACGUUCCCGGGUCUU